ACGAGUCCUCAACAAGUUGGAGGAAGGCAGGAACGCAGGGGUUAAGCUCGGAAAGCCGCAAUUACCAAGAUCGUGACCCUCCCACACAGUACAGUAACUUAUAUACUUACCUGGAAGAGCCUGCUUUGCCGCUGGGCCAACACCCGUGGGGGGCGGGGAAGGGCGGGAGGGAGCGGGCCGGUUGGAGAGGGCUCCUUCAAGCUGGCUGCAGUGUGGACCGGACCGGCGCCCUCCAGGGCCCUCGGGACCCAGGUGGUUAAACCUGUCUUGACACCCGGAGGUCUGCAUGAGGGGUGGCCGCUGAAGGAAGGGGUCUCAGAGGCCACAGGAGCUGAAGAGUCUGGACAGAUGAUCUCUGGAGUCCCAGGAGUCUCCUGCUGAAGAAAGAAUCUAAAGAGAUGCCUAAGUUCCAGGGAAUUUUCCUCUAAGACUAAUAACAUCAAGAUAGCUUUGAUUUUAUUUAUUUAUGUUCAUUAUUUUUUUCCACAAGAGAAAUACGUGUCAUCUUCAGAGAUCCUGUGUUAGAAUUUUUUAUUUUACUUGUGCUGGUUGAAGACAAAUC